CCUACGGGAGGCUGCAGUGGGGAAUAUUGGACAAUGGGCGAAAGCCUGAUCCAGCCAUGCCGCGUGUGUGAAGAAGGCCUUCGGGUUGUAAAGCACUUUCAGUGGGGAAGAAAGCCUUGGGGCUAAUACCCUCGAGGAAGGACAUCACCCACAGAAGAAGCACCGGCUAACUCCGUGCCAGCAGCCGCGGUAAUACGGAGGGUGCGAGCGUUAAUCGGAAUUACUGGGCGUAAAGCGCGCGUAGGCGGUCUGAUAAGCCGGUUGUGAAAGCCCCGGGCUCAACCUGGGAACGGCAUCCGGAACUGUCAGGCUAGAGUGCAGGAGAGGAAGGUAGAAUUCCCGGUGUAGCGGUGAAAUGCGUAGAGAUCGGGAGGAAUACCAGUGGCGAAGGCGGCCUUCUGGACUGACACUGACACUGAGGUGCGAAAGCGUGGGUAGCAAACAGGAUUAGAUACCCCAGUAGU
rnacentral:rRNA from 1 species